rnacentral:rRNA from 1 species
UACGUAGGGUGCAAGCGUUGUCCGGAAUUAUUGGGCGUAAAGAGCUCGUAGGCGGCUUGUCGCGUCGGCUGUGAAAUCCCGUGGCUCAACGUGCGGGUCUGCAGCCGAUACGGGCAGGCUAGAGUUCGGUAGGGGAGACUGGAAUUCCUGGUGUAGCGGUGAAAUGCGCAGAUAUCAGGAGGAACACCGAUGGCGAAGGCAGGUCUCUGGGCCGAUACUGACGCUGAGGAGCGAAAGCGUGGGGAGCGAACAGG